AUGCAGUGAUGACUUGAAUUUCUUCACCUGAAACUUGCCUUGAUGUUUAUCGAGCUUUUUAACCCUGAGCAUU
ensembl:snoRNA SNORD36 Small nucleolar RNA SNORD36